rnacentral:rRNA from 1 species
CUUAUAGUUUCUUUGGUAUUCGUUUUCUAUGGAUAACCGUGCUAAUUGUAGGGCUAAUACAAGUUCGAUGCCUUUUGGCGGCGUUUAUUAGCUUUUAACCCUUAUUUUCGGUGAUUCAUAAUAAACUUGCGAAUCGCUUUUUAGCGAUGGCCCAUUCAAGUUUCUGACCCAUCAGCUUGACGGUAGGGUAUUGGCCUACCGAGGCAGCAACGGGUAACGGGGAAUUAGGGUUCGAUUCCGGAGAGGGAGCCUGAGAAACGGCUACCACAUCUAAGGAAGGCAGCAGGCGCGCAAAUUACAAUCCUGACACAGGGAGGUAGUGACAAGAAAUAACAAUACAGGGCUAAUGUCUUGUAAUUGGAAUGAUGGCGACUUAAACCCUCGCCAGAGUAACAAUUGGAGGGCAAGUCUGGUGCCAGCAGCCGCGGUAAUUCCAGCUCCAAUAGCGUAUAUUAAACUUGUUGCAGUUAAAAAGCUCGUAGUUGAAUUUCUGCGUUGCGUUGUUCUUGCUUUUUGCUUGAUUUUCGCUUCGCUUUUUGUUUUUACUUUGAGAAAAUUAGAGUGUUUAUCGCAGACUUUUGUCUUGAAUACUUCAGCAUGGAAUAACAUAGUAGGACCUUGGUUCUAUUUUGUUGGUUUGGGACCUUGGUAAUGGUUAAUAGGAACGGUUGGGGGCAU